GCGGCAGCACGACCGAUCGGCUCGCCUGAUCGGACCCUCGAGCUGUCGGACUGGGAGUCUCCAUUGUACCAUCCGCCCGGGUGUGUGCCUCCAGAAAUCCGGCACAUGACACCUCCGACGGGGUCUGCUGGGGAGUCUGCUGGGACCUUUCCGGCGGAUGGGAGCCACUUUCCCCGCUGCCCGAAUGAGUACCCGCCGCAGGGGCAGGCACGACUUCUGUCUCCGGCGGGACACCCUCGACCACCGGCACGUCGGGCUGUGACGCCUUUGCAAAGUCAAUGGCGCCCUUCCGCGUGAACAUGUCUAUAUUGGCCCGGGCCCCAGACUUCGCCGCUUCGGUCAAUGUCUUUUUAUACUCCGCCGACAUCUUGAACGCUUCAACGGCGGCGGCCGCAGAAGAACUCUGUUCAUUUUUCAGGCGGUUAACCUCCCCGUCCAGCCGCUGCAUCUCACCCAGUCUGGCGGCAGACUCCCGCUGCACAAUAAUGAGCUUCUUAUCUUUAGCGGCUAUCCGCUCCUGCAGCAAUGCGAUCUCCUGCUCCAACUGGGAGACGCGCUCAUUCCUCUCCAGGUCCCGCCUUAUGGCCGCAUUAAGCUUGCCGCGGGCGUCCGCAUAGUCACACUCCGCCUUGACCAGCCCCCGCUCGGCCUCCGCCAGUCUCUCCUUGGCCUCCGCCAACUCCCUCUGGAGACCUCCGAUCUCUCCCCUGAGCUCUUCCUCAAUCCGGGGCUGCUUAGACGCCGCCUCGAACAUAUCAUGUAACCCCGCAGAUAUUUGACCAAACGCCGAGCUGAAGGGCGAUUGGUCAAUUGCCGUCGGGCGCGAUAUGCCCGCCAGACCCCCGAACCCCAGCCGCUCG
rnacentral:lncRNA from 1 species